CCCCCCGUCACCCCCUCGCUGGGCGCAGGGUGCUGGGCUCAGUGCUCCUGGCAGCACCUCUCUGCAGGCGCCGGGAGCUUCGGCGCUUCAAAUGCCCUGGGCCUAAAUGGUGCCCGAAUGGCUUCUGCAUCAAAGGUACUUCGAGACUCUUCAGCGCAUUGCUAAAAAUAUUUUGCUUUAAAACUCGAAAACAUGAAGGAAUAAAAUGAGUGUUUGCAGCUGAGCAGCUUAACAAGAUGAGAGAUAAAGGAAAUGGGAAACAAAACCUGAUUUGCAUCAGCAGAGGGAAGUCCCUGCAAAAAGUUUUGAGCAAGGACCGUGGAGGCCAGGGGGCGUUUCUUCAAACGAAGGAGCCGUUUCCUCAGUCUGCUUAAAACUGAGGUUAGAAAAUCGUGAAGCCAAGCAACAGAACCUCUGGAAAGGGUGUCACCCAAAACAGCUGUGAGUUGGCUGGUGUCCCCUCUCCCUCCCUCUCCAGAACUAGGACAUCUAAAUUUAACCUGCUAUCAACAGAUGAAGCCGGAGAGUUUCCACUGGGGAAAGGAAUCCCGCCCAGAACCUGUCCUCUCCUCUCCUCGGCCUCCAUCCCUGCACAUUCCUGUCCUCGAGCCGUGACCUCCCGUGGGAAAGGACGGGGCUGCGCUGAGAGCCCGCCGCUCCCCAGCCGUUUCGGCUUUUUCAGCAGUGUUUACAGCAAGCAUCUGACCAGGCUUUUGCUAAACAAGCAAACAGCGUCGGGAAACCCAACCGUGCGGAA